rnacentral:rRNA from 1 species
GAGACCUCAGGUCAGGCGGGGCUACCCGCUGAGUUUAAGCAUAUCAAUAAGCGGAGG